GGUAAUUUAAUCUUACAAUCAAAAUAAAUGGAUCAAGUAAAUAUAAAUAAAUAUAAUAAUAAAAAGGAGGGGUUAAAUUGUAUCCCUCCCAUCACCCCAACAAAACAUAUUAGACGGCCCAGUGAACCCUCACAAACAGAAAGGGACCAUAACAAAUGUUAAACUCUAUAGGGUCUUCUCGUCCCAUAAAAACAUCUAAGAAUUUUAACUCAAAGACCAAAUUCAAUAAACAGUUCAAAAUUAAGACAGCCCAUGCCUCGUCAAGCCAUUCAUACCAGAUCACAAUUAAAGAACUAAUGACUAUGCUACCUUUGCACGGUCAAAAUACCGCGGCCCUUCAACACCAAAGUCAGUGGGCAGGCCAUACUUCAAAAACUAACGAGAAAAG
rnacentral:rRNA from 1 species